UUUAAUUUUGAAGCCAGCAAAAAGCUGCAGAGAAACGUUAAUGGCGGAAUAUGGAUUUACAAUCAGUUGAAAAGAAGCGGGGGGCGAACUAUGGCGAUCUACAGCGAUUCACCGAGCUGACAAACCCUUGAACAUGUAUUUGGCAGCUCAGCAAGAUUUUCCGCCAGUAAUCGGAGGGCAACACUCAAGAUGCAGAGACCCCAAAACACUCCUAGAAUCACAACCAAGCUGGCCAUUGAUCCUCCCUAAAAGCUCAAAACUAUUUGAGAGAUAAGGGGAGGGGAGAGAGGGAAAGCUUGAAAGGGAGAGCUGUAAAAGGUAUGGGAUUUGCUCUAGUUGUAUUGGCUGGUCAUGACUCAUGAGUUCGUGCGGGUGUUUAUAUAGACCUGAUGAAAUCAAUAUGAGAGAGAGAGAGAGGGUUGGGGGUAGAGUGGGGAGGCCUAAUACGCCAAAAUCAUGCACGCUAGAAAGGUAGGACCUAGUAUUAAAACCUGACGGAAAACUCAAGGCACAGUAAAGAACUCAAAUAAAUAAAUUUUGGUUGAAGUAAAUUUUUUUGUACAAACAGAAACUGGUUUAACAUUUUCUUGAUACCUCAAGAGCUUCCAUUUCACUGGCCUGUCAAAACUUAACUUUUUGGAGCCUUGUGCAAGGGAAGAAGACUAUAAAAAAUUGCAGAACAGAGACCCCCUAUUCCUGCCUAGCUAAUGGCCAUCCACUAAGCAUGAUUAAGUAGGUUGGAAAAUGACUUGAAGAGAAGUGUGGAUCCUUGGGGAGAUCCUUGGAAAGGGAUUUGACACGACUGACACAGUGCCCCCUUUUACAUUUCUAAGCAAUUGCUAAUCAUCGCCCACUUUUAUCUCUCGAGGUAAAUCUUAAACUAAAAGGUUGCUCUUUUCUUGCAGUCUUAUCGAUAUUAUAUUUGAUGAAUUAUGUGUGUAUUAGAUUCAUUAUGUGUGUAUCCACAUGCAUAUUUAGGUGGCUAUGAGAGCAUUUACUUUUAUAUGAUUUGAGUAUGUUUGUUUUCGACUUUCAAUAAAA